UCGAGCGGUUGACGGGAGCUUGCUCCCUGAUUCAGCGGCGGACGGGUGAGUAAUGCCUAGGAAUCUGCCUAUUAGUGGGGGACAACGUUUCGAAAGGAACGCUAAUACCGCAUACGUCCUACGGGAGAAAGCAGGGGACCUUCGGGCCUUGCGCUAAUAGAUGAGCCUAGGUCGGAUUAGCUUGUUGGUGAGGUAAUGGCUCACCAAGGCGACGAUCCGUAACUGGUCUGAGAGGAUGAUCAGUCACACUGGAACUGAGACACGGUCCAGACUCCUACGGGAGGCAGCAGUGGGGAAUAUUGGACAAUGGGCGAAAGCCUGAUCCAGCCAUGCCGCGUGUGUGAAGAAGGUCUUCGGAUUGUAAAGCACUUUAAGUUGGGAGGAAGGGUUGUAGAUUAAUACUCUGCAAUUUUGACGUUACCGACAGAAUAAGCACCGGCUAACUCUGUGCCAGCAGCCGCGGUAAUACAGAGGGUGCAAGCGUUAAUCGGAAUUACUGGGCGUAAAGCGCGCGUAGGUGGUUUGUUAAGUUGGAUGUGAAAGCCCCGGGCUCAACCUGGGAACUGCAUCCAAAACUGGCAAGCUAGAGUACGGUAGAGGGUGGUGGAAUUUCCUGUGUAGCGGUGAAAUGCGUAGAUAUAGGAAGGAACACCAGUGGCGAAGGCGACCACCUGGACUGAUACUGACACUGAGGUGCGAAAGCGUGGGGA
rnacentral:rRNA from 1 species